CUGGAGGUAUCAGAAGUGCGAAUGCUGACAUAAGUAACGAUAAAGCGGGUGAAAAGCCCGCUCGCCGGAAGACCAAGGGUUCCUGUCCAACGUUAAUCGGGGCAGGGUGAGUCGACCCCUAAGGCGAGGCCGAAAGGCGUAGUCGAUGGGAAACGGGUUAAUAUUCCCGUACUUGGUGUUACUGCGAAGGGGGGACGGAGAAGGCUAUGUUGGCCGGGCGACGGUUGUCCCGGUU
rnacentral:rRNA from 1 species